AGGUGGCGGAGGAGAGCCCGGAGCUGCUGAACCCUGAGCCCAGGAGACUGAGCCCAGGGGACUUCGCCGCCUUGCUGCACGCGGGGCUGUCCGUGCGCCAAGCUCUGCUGCUGAACCUGGCCUCCGCGCUCACGGCCUUCGCUGGUCUCUACGUGGCACUCGCGGUUGGAGUCAGCGAGGAGAGCGAGGCCUGGAUCCUGGCAGUGGCCACCGGCCUGUUCCUCUACGUAGCACUCUGCGACAUGCUCCCGGCGAUGUUGAAAGUACGGGACCCGCGGCCCUGGCUCCUCUUCCUGCUGCACAACGUGGGCCUGCUGGGCGGCUGGACCGUCCUGCUGCUGCUGUCCCUGUACGAGGAUGACAUCACCUUCUGAUACCCUGCCCUAGUCCCCCACCUUUGACUUAAGAUCCCACACCUCACAAACCUACAGCCCAGAAACCAGAAGCCCCUAUAGAGGCCCCAGUCCCAACUCCAGUAAAGACACUCUUGUCCUUGGA
rnacentral:sRNA from 1 species